AGGUGAGAUGGCCGAGCGGUUAAGGCGCCAGCUUCAGGUGCUUCCAACAAAAGUUGCAGUAUCUUGCUGGUCACGAAAGUGGCGCGGGUUCGAGUCCCGUUCUCAUCA
rnacentral:tRNA from 1 species